rnacentral:misc_RNA from 1 species
UAUAAGAUCGUCAAGAGUUUGUGCAGGAGAUUCCUGCAACUUUCCUGUCUGGUUAAUAGCCAAUACCGAGUCCAACAAAGAAGACAGAUUCUCGAAUAGCAGAUGAAUCAGCCUUUGAAGCUGCAAUGUUUCUUCUGCAGCAAUAUCAUCUAGGAGGAGGAUAUCAUUUGCUAUUCUUGAAAAGACUUCCUCCAGGACCAUGCUCAUACUUCUCUUGUAUGCAGAAGGUAGGAGUAAACGGUGCCAUAUAAUAUAUACUUUCUCAAGUAUGAAAAUAACCUGGUCAAUACUCAACUUAGCAGAUUCAUAUUGCUUCAUUUGGUGAGUAUUUUGAAAUCCAUCGGCCCCAUCAAUAGCCUGUUUUAGGUUAUAAAUGACAAGUUUUAUUUGUCUUUGUAAAACUUCUUCCGCAAGCAUCUGGAAUCUUGG